GACACAAACGCCCAGCUGCCCCCAGUUCAGUGCCACAGAGAAAAGCCUUGCAGAACAGGUUGAGUUUGUGGAUGGGCAUGGGGUAGAAGGUAUCAUCUCUUCUCUAUCAAUGACUUGGGUGAUACUUCUGGCAACAAAACAGACAGUUCUCGGCCUCUGUGUUUUCAUUGUCCAACUGAAGAUUAGACAAGAGGCAGCAUGGGGUGGUGGAUAAAUCGUGGACCAGGAUUGAAGCGAAGAUCUGCUCAUCUGGGACACUCACCAGUCGUCCUCAGGUUCUGAAGAGAACUCACCGGUUGUAGAGUCUGUGUUAAUCACCCAGCAUUAAUAUUUCCAUUGCUCCAUCAUCAUGUGUAAGCCUGUCAACAGCGUUCUUCUCCAGAAGUAAACUUGCUCAACCUUUAGUUUCACAUCAGUGAAGGUGGAUUCUUUCACCAAGAUGGACUUGUUUGUUCUCAGGAAAUCCAUACAGCCCUCGAUGAAGAGUUCAGAAACUCUUUUUAUGCAUUAAAAGCACCUACACAAUUUGAUGGUUUAAUACAACAAGUUUUUCCUCAUAAUUCUGUGGGUCAGCAGUUUGGGCUGGGAUCAGCUGGGCUGUUCCUCUGUUGGUUUUCCUGAGGACACUCGUGACUGCUGUCAUCAGGCAGUUCCACUGGGGCUGAGUGAUCCAACAUGACUCACUUACAUGCCUGGCUAUGGGUGACAGCUCUUCUCCGGACCUUACUCCCCACAAGCUUUCUCAUCCUCCAGCCAGCUGGACUGGACUUUUCCACACAGUGUUCUCAGGGUCUCAAGAGAGCGAGAGCAGAAGCUGCCAGGCCACUUGAGGUCCAGACUUGGAACUAACACCAUCACUUCUACUGCAAUUUAUUGUUCAAAGCAGGACAUUAAGCACCCCUAUUCAAGGGGGUAGAGAAAUAGACUCUACCUCUUGAUGGGGGAAGCAAAGGCACCUGAAAACAGAAGUGGGAGAAAUCUGUGACCGUUUUUUGCAGUCUUUCACAAGGAGAAAAUAAUCUUACCUGGACAAAGAAGAGGCUUCACCCCAGUGUUCUUUCAACUUUAACAUGAACAUGAAUCACCUUAGGAACUUGUUACAAUGCAGGUUCUGAUUCAGUUGGUCUGGUGUGGGACUGAAGGUAUUUCUAACAAGCUCUCAGGUGAUGCUGAUGCAGCUGGUUCACAGAGUACAGUUGGUGAACCAAGGUUCUAAUCACUGACAUGGGGUAAGUCCAUUCCCUUUUCUCUACUAAGUGGGGCGAGUGCUGGCCUGCCCAAUAAUGUACUGGUUCUUCCAAGGGUAGAGAGCCACCCAGCCUAUGCCUAUAAUUUAAGAUAUGCUGCCAGUGAACUCAGUUAAUGCAGUAUGUACAUUAUAGGUCUACUUUAAGAACCACAGUGGCCUGACACGGAUCACAUACCUGCUGGAAUUACUUGAUUCUCUGUUAGCUCUGUGUCUGUGUUUUCCAGUGUGGUUUUGUGACCACACUGGGAAAGAUCCACAAAUGUCAAUAUUAAAAUGUUCACUUUGACUUUAAAAAAUGCCAUCAUUGCUUUCUAUAGGAUUUUAAAAUUAGAUUUUAAAUAGUUUCACAUUUCAAGCAUUAUUAUAACAGAUUGCUUAGGCCAGAUGGAUGGUUCUCUGAGGUCUUUACCAGAACUGGUAAAGCUUGUCUAAUGGUAUUCAAUCACAACUCUCUCACAUUUUAAUUCCUCUUUCAUCAGAGGCUGUGUGUACCAUCAUGUCAGGAAGGGGCCCAAGCUUGGGGACAGAUACUCAGAUAACAGAAACCUGGGUUAAAAUUUUUAAAGCCUGGGGCUCUGGUCACUAGAAACACAGAGUAUCUUUCUCUUUCUGAUAUGAACUGAUGAUGCAGUUUGUAAUACAGCUAAGGUGAAUGUCCUGAGUGUGUGUCUGUUUCUGGCUGAUGUGGGAGCAAUAAGGCAUUUAUACACAAGAUUGGCCAAUAAUUAUAGCUGUUCAUUUGUUUUUGUUUUUUUUUUGAUGUCACCAAGCCAUUCUAUUUUUGUCCUCCCAAAUCUGAUCACCUGGGGGAAAUUGAGGCAAUGCAUGUAGUUCUUCUUCCGAUAGUAUGGUGCUGCAAAUUUGAAAAAAAUGAUAAGAAACACAGACAUAGAUGAUGGGCCACAAACAUAGUUAUCUUUCUCUCUGAAUGAAAACAAAUAAAAAUCAGGGAUCAGGUCAACACCAAGAGACACUUGUUUGUUUUUAACGGUUGCCCAGUUUCCUUUCAAAAUGGAGGAUUGAAGUAUGAUACAGUUAGAUAAGGAGAAAAAAAAGGUCUAGUUAUAAAUUAAUAGAAUGCUAGCAUUCCAAAGAACCACAGGAAUCAAUGAAUACAAGCCUCUUACUUUACAAAUAGGAAAACUGGGGCCCAGACAGGUGACAUGACUUUCAUGAAGCCAUGAAGCUUGCCCCUGGUCGUCCAAAUUCACUCUAUUGACUCCAACAAAUCAUGAAGGAGAUUUUACACUCUGAAGUUGCUGUCAUGCUAUUGGUCCUGCUUCUAUGAUUUCUUGCACCUUUACUAGAAACUUCUGGUCUUGUAUUUGAGAUUUUCCAAAUCAUUUGUUCAAAAUCAUGAGUCUGAUAAAAACCCUGUUUUCUCCUUAUGGCCUGUUCCAUUCUUCCCUGGAAGUUUCUCAUUUCACACUAUCACAUUUUUAUUAAAGUCAUGCUGACAAAUGAGGGAAAUAAAACCCUUCUGAGGGUUGCUUUCCACCAAACUUUCUCUCUCUUCUGUGCUUUAUUAAAAUAGAAAGGACAAGAAAAAUCUCAUAUUAUACUACUCUGCAGGCUUUCUGGAAUUAUACAUUAAAUUGGCUGCUUCUGUGAGGGUCCAUCAGGGUUCGUGGGGGAGGAAGGGGAAGAAAUUUUGUGUACAAUCCUGGACACUUUUUAUGUACAAGACCAUUUAAUCCUCAUAACAACUUUCCUCUAUUUUACUGGGAAAAAGAAUUGAAGCUCAGAGUAGUUAAAUAGCUUGCCCAAGAUUACACUAUUA